ACCUUGUAUACCAUUCCAUAAUCAUCCUGUCCUGAAGGAAAAACACACAGAGGAACUUCUCCUCCUUCAUUGCCAAGAUCCAAGCAAUGUAAAUGGGCUUGCUAAAGUCAUAUUCAGACCACAACUUGGAUCUAAAUUUUUCAUUGGGAUUUAUAAUGGGCUGAUAUGGAACCUUGAAUCCAAACAUCACAGAAGCUUGAAGAGUUGAAAUCUAGGCUUGCCCUAAGGUCUUCUGGCAGUGCAGGGGGCUGAGAACAGCAUGUGAGGAGGUAGGUUGCCGUCAUUCAGCUAAAAAGCCACACUUUCCAUGAAGCAUCACUGAUUUGUUUGCACGUGGUUGAGGGGUGAAUGAUAAGACUGGAGAAAAUGGAAAAUUGCUUUGGAUGACUCUGAUGCUGCCUCCUGCAAAGAGUAUCGAUGAGAAGAGGUGAAGGCAUGAUAUUCCAUCCUGCAAUAGAACGAGUUGUGUUUGCAAGAUGGGCCCUGGAUGAGCAAG